rnacentral:lncRNA from 1 species
ACCACGUUGCCUGCUUUGCUCGCCAUGCAGUCUAGCAGGAAUUAAUCAAUGAGAACCUGUGCCGCAUGGAAAAAGAAAAGAAAAAAAAAUAGAAAGAAAGCCAGCAGCGCGGUACCCCGCUAAGGCAUAGGUCCCUGCUCGCCCCGCAUCAGCCGCAGCCCGGACAUGCCCCUGGCGGCCCGCACGGCUGAGGAGUUCGCGGAGAGCCGCGCUCCCUCAUUCCCGGCCGCACCGCCGCCGCCCCCCGAGCACCCGCCGCUCCGCUCCACUCCGCUCGGCUCUGCGGGGCAGCGCCAUGGGCGCCGGCAGCUCCGCCGAGCCGUCCGCCCCGCCGCAGGAGGACGGGGCCGCCGCCGCCGCCGCCCCCCCGGAGCCCGCCAAGGAUGCGGCUGGGAGGCGCGUCGGGGGGACUGCAGCAGGGACCCUCCCUGCACCACCAAGUUUCCCCUGCUGAGCUCCAGCUUCAGCGUCUCUCUUCUCACCCUCCCAGUCCCGCAUCGGGCCCGCCGCAGCCCCCCCGAGCAGAGCCGGGCGGGGAGGGGGCGCGGGGUCGCGGUGGGGGCGGUGGCUGCGGCGCUCCCCGGUGGCACAGCGACGGGGCGAGCGGGGAGGCGGCGGCCAACAACCAACGGGGAGGGGGAGGGAUCGGGGUCCGAGCCUGUGUUAUUUUAAAUAAAGACGUUGAAGAAUUGAAAGAAAUUCUUUUAAAACGUCUGGUGUUUAAAAAUAGAUUAUGAAUGAACCCAUUUAUCCCGCAGGAAUUGGCGUGUUGAGGGGAUUCUGGGACUGAAAGGGAGGUUAUGUGCAUCUACGUGUUUACAUAGCAUCGUGUUGGGGUUAGACGUUAGUUGUUAGGGGAGACAUAAUGCGACGUUAUGCCCGGAGUCCGCUGCGCAGCCUGAUCAGAGCUUGGGUCCUCGGAGCACUCCAAGUUUCUGUGAGCGGGCGUGUGGGUGUGUUGGAGCUUGAGAACGGGUUAUGACUUUGUUUCUUUGACCUUGUGGUUCAGAUUUAACUUUCAAGUUGAAUUUCCCAUAGUUCCUGGCUUCCACUAGACCUCCUUGUGCGUGUUUUGACAGAUUUGAAAACCACAUCGAGAAUGAACUUUAAAUUAACCGAGAUUUAUUUUAUUUUCUUUUUAACCAAAUAAGCAGUAGGGAUCGGUGUUGGUUAACAAAAUAUUUAGCGGUUGUGUUGAGCCGCUUUAGAAUUCAAAUGCUGAAAUGUAGACGGUGGUGAAUUUGGAGGGCGAGCCUCUGGUCUCAGUGAUUGCUUUAAAACAAAGAUAACCUGACUUUGAGAAGGGCUGCAAUGGUCGUAGUCGUGUUUACCCAGUCAUGGGAACUAAGGCAAGCAAAGGGGGAUGCCAUUGAUGCUGUUCUCCAAGGCAGACUAUGACUGGUCCUAAAUACUGUGGUUUAUAUCUUCUGCUCUUUAGGAAGCGUCUUUUCCAACACUUUGGUUUUGUCAUUCAAGUUGAUUAAAGGUGGGGAAAUUCUCUUCGCGUAUCACUGCUGUAAGAAGUUCUGUGACUGUGGUUUUCCUAGAACAGCUGCUUUUGUCUUCUCUUACACUGAAUCAAAGUUUUAAUGAAGUUCAGUCCCGCUUCUUUUUCAUAUCUCCCUUAUUCUGUCCUUACCGCAGUGAGAUUGUUCCAUGCAGAUUCAUGACACAGUUUUUCAUAGCUGUUCCUUUCAGCCCUCUGAACAUGAAAAUCACCAGAUCACGCCGUGCCCCUGGAGAAAUCUAUCAAAGAGCUAAUGUGUUUGCAAAAAAAAAAAAAAAGGCAGUGGUGUCAUUUUAAAGGAUGCUCUCCCUUCUCGUGCUUUUGAAACUGAAGCACUCAUCCCAGCUCUUCUGAAUGAGAAAUUCAGAAAACUGGCCUUUAUGCAAUCCAAUUUGAGCGAGCCUUGGCGAGUGAAUUACAGAUACAUUGUCUGGGCAACUGUUACAAUAGGCGGUAUAAAAUUUCAUGGCAGUUCUGCUUCCUCAUCACUUGAAACGCCUCAGAAUGUUUAAUCAAGUUUCUUUCAUAAUAGACCUAUUUUGCACUAGAUGAAAUCCUGUUUGCUUUUUCUCUGAGAAAGGCCCGAAUUUACAGUCUUUAGGUUGCCUUGUUAUCCCCAUGUGACUCUUUG